GACGAACGCUGGCGGCGUGCCUAAUACAUGCAAGUAGAACGCUGAAGAGAGGAGCUUUCUCUUCUUGGAUGAGUUGCGAACGGGUGAGUAACGCGUAGGUAACCUGCCUUGUAGCGGGGGAUAACUAUUGGAAACGAUAGCUAAUACCGCAUAACAAUGGAUGACACAUGUCAUUUAUUUGAAAGGGGCAAUUGCUCCACUACAAGAUGGACCUGCGUUGUAUUAGCUAGUAGGUGAGGUAAUGGCUCACCUAGGCGACGAUACAUAGCCGACCUGAGAGGGUGAUCGGCCACACUGGGACUGAGACACGGCCCAGACUCCUACGGGAGGCAGCAGUAGGGGAUCUUCGGCAAUGGGGGCAACCCUGACCGAGCAACGCCGCGUGAGUGAAGAAGGUUUUCGGAUCGUAAAGCUCUGUUGUAAGUCAAGAACGGGUGUGAGAGUGGAAAGUUCACACUGUGACGGUAGCUUACCAGAAAGGGACGGCUAACUACGUG
rnacentral:rRNA from 1 species